UUUGUCCACCAAACUUUUAACAAUGUGCAUGAAUGCACAAAGCAAUCUAUAGGCCCGAAUGCAGCUGAGAUAGGCUCCAGCGACCCCGAAAGGGACAAGCGGUAGAAAAUGGAUGGAUGUUCAAAAACCAGUCCUCCAGGUCCAGCUCUCGGAUGGGGAUGGGCUGUCGGCAGAGCUGGUAGCUGACGGGCUGCUCGUUGAGCGAGACGGACCUGGUGAUGACCAGGACGUCCUGGAACAGGAAGACGUGGAGCUUCUUCUCAGAGCGAGAGAGAGAGACAAGAGGUUGGAUGACUCCCACAAGCGAGGAGAGAGACCAGGUAAGAGUCUACUCACCAGGCCUCGGUUGUUCUUCAGCUCUCCGUGGCAGCUCAGCGUCCUGGAGCGCUCGAUGAGGGCGUCCCUCAGACCCACCUCGCUGUAGAGCAGCCGGUCCUUGUAGAACUGACACUCGGACUCUCCCGUGCGCCUGUUGGUGUCCGCCACCACGCUCUGGACCAUCAGCAUCUGUGGAGCACACCCGGUGUUG